GACGAACGCUGGCGGCGUGCCUAAUACAUGCAAGUUGAGCGCUGAAGGUUGGUACUUGUACCAACUGGAUGAGCAGCGAACGGGUGAGUAACGCGUGGGGAAUCUGCCUUUGAGCGGGGGACAACAUUUGGAAACGAAUGCUAAUACCGCAUAAAAACUUUAAACACAAGUUUUAAGUUUGAAAGAUGCAAUUGCAUCACUCAAAGAUGAUCCCGCGUUGUAUUAGCUAGUUGGUGAGGUAAAGGCUCACCAAGGCGAUGAUACAUAGCCGACCUGAGAGGGUGAUCGGCCACAUUGGGACUGGGACACGGCCCAAACUCCUACGGGAGGCAGCAGUAGGGAAUCUUCGGCAAUGGACGAAAGUCUGACCGAGCAACGCCGCGUGAGUGAAGAAGGUUUUCGGAUCGUAAAACUCUGUUGGUAGGGAAGAACGUUGGUGAGAGUGGAAAGCUCAUCAAGUGACGGUAACUACCCAGAAAGGGACGGCUAACUACGUG
rnacentral:rRNA from 1 species